GACGAACGCUGGCGGCGUGCCUAAUACAUGCAAGUAGAACGCUGAAGGAGGAGCUUGCUUCUCUGGAUGAGUUGCGAACGGGUGAGUAACGCGUAGGUAACCUGCCUGGUAGCGGGGGAUAACUAUUGGAAACGAUAGCUAAUACCGCAUAAUAGCAGUUGUUGCAUGACAACUGUUUGAAAGGUGCAAUUGCACCACUACCAGAUGGACCUGCGUUGUAUUAGCUAGUUGGUGGGGUAACGGCUCACCAAGGCGACGAUACAUAGCCGACCUGAGAGGGUGAUCGGCCAACCUGGGACUGAGAAACGGCCCAGACUCCUACGGGAGGCAGCAGUAGGGAAUCUUCGGCAAUGGGCGGAAGUCUGACCGAGCAACGCCGCGUGAGUGAAGAAGGUUUUCGGAUCGUAAAGCUCUGUUGUAAGAGAAGAACGAGUGUGGGAGUGGAAAGUUCACACUGUGACGGUAUCUUACCAGAAAGGGACGGCUAACUACGUG
rnacentral:rRNA from 1 species